rnacentral:rRNA from 1 species
UACAGAGGUGGCAAGCGUUGUUCGGAAUUACUGGGCGUAAAGGGCGCGUAGGCGGUCUUGCAAGUCCCGUGUGAAAUCCCUCGGCUCAACUGAGGAACUGCACGGGAAACUGCUUGGCUUGAGUUCGGGAGAGGGAAGCGGAAUUCCGGGUGUAGCGGUGAAAUGCGUAGAUAUCUGGAGGAACACCGGUGGCGAAGGCGGCAUCCUGGACCGGUAUUGACGCUGAGGCGCGAAAGCGUGGGGAGCAAACAGG